rnacentral:rRNA from 2 species
GCGGCAGGCCUAACACAUGCAAGUCGAGCGCGCCUUUCGGGGUGAGCGGCGGACGGGUUAGUAACGCGUGGGAAUAUGCCCUUUGGUACGGAAUAGCCUCUGGAAACGGAGAGUAAUACCGUAUGAGCCCUUCGGGGGAAAGAUUUAUCGCCAAAGGAUUAGCCCGCGUUAGAUUAGGUAGUUGGUGGGGUAAUGGCCUACCAAGCCUACGAUCUAUAGCUGGUUUUAGAGGAUGAUCAGCAACACUGGGACUGAGACACGGCCCAGACUCCUACGGGAGGCAGCAGUGGGGAAUCUUGGACAAUGGGGGCAACCCUGAUCCAGCCAUGCCGCG